UACGUAGGGUCCGAGCGUUGUCCGGAAUUACUGGGCGUAAAGAGCUCGUAGGUGGUUUGUCGCGUUGUUCGUGAAAACUUACAGCUUAACUGUGGGCGUGCGGGCGAUACGGGCAGACUUGAGUACUGCAGGGGAGACUGGAAUUCCUGGUGUAGCGGUGGAAUGCGCAGAUAUCAGGAGGAACACCGGUGGCGAAGGCGGGUCUCUGGGCAGUAACUGACGCUGAGGAGCGAAAGCGUGGGGAGCGAACAGG
rnacentral:rRNA from 1 species